ensembl:lncRNA
GCCAAUCUGGGCCAAAUGGCUGGCUUCUGGCUCCCUGUGGUUUCUGGAAGGCAGGAAGCCGCAGACAGCAGACCACGGAGGGCGCCAGCGAGACAGCCUUUCUCUUGGCUUCAUGCCACCGCCAUUCUAGAUUCCUUUUUCCUAUUCUAACUACCUAACAGAUUCAAAGGUCUGGGAUGGAACCUGAGGAUCUGCAUUUCAACGGGCUCUCAGAACUUUUAUGAGUUUGAAAACCCAAUCAGAAGAGACAACCAGGGGACGUGUCUCAAAGGCAUGUUGGAAUCAUAAGCCCAGUCUUCAUUUCAGUUUUUGUUUCACGUCGUUUGGAGGUUGCACCACAAGGACUGAGUGAAGUGAGAACACAGCCCCCCUGGCGGCAGGAAAACCCUAACUAAUAGAGCUCCCAUCACAGAAGCUCACCCAGGUUGGCUACCCAGCAAUAGUGCACAAUAGGAGUGCUAAGUUGCUUCAGACUCUUUGCGACCCCGUGGACUAUAGUCCAGCAGGCUCCUCUGUCCAUGGGAUACUGAACGCAAGAAUACUGGAGCGGCACAUUAGGGACAAGACACAAAAGCAAAGUCAAGUCUGGUCCAUUCUACCUGCCCCAAGGCACUGGCCCAGCUUCUCAGCCCAAGGUUCUGGUCUGCUGCUGCUAAAGUGAAUGAGGAAUGUUGCAACAACAUCUGGAGCCGCCCCCAGCGGAAGCCUGCAGAGUGGCAGUGGCAGCGGUGACAGCUCAGAACGCAGGCCUCUCACCGUGUGGACAUCCACGCAUCCACCAGCACACACAGACUAUGUGCACGUGGUCAUGUCUACAUGUCCACACGUACACAUGCACAUGCGUGUGUGUUUGUACACCACACAAGCAUGCCCUGUACGUGUGUGCUUGUGUGUGCAUGUGUGUUCAGAUGUGUGCAUUCACACCUAUGACCCAUACACACAUGGCCAUGCCUGUGUGCACAGAUGCACAUGCUUACAUGUGUGUUCAGACGUGUGCAUUCACACCUAUGACCCAUACACAUAUGGCCAUGCCUACAUGCACAGAUGCACAUGCUCAGAUGCACAGGCCUGGCCACAGACACAAUCACGGCCACAGCACUGGGACUGAGAUAAGGGAUCCUAGUUCUGGGCUGGAGCUUGGGAAGGCCACAGCCCCAGGGAUGCCCCAAGAAUCUGCGCUCUCUGUUCCCCAUUCAAGUCAGCAAAAGCCAAGCCUGUCCUUCAAUCUGGAACUGGAGCCCAGCUUCCCAGCCCCUCCUCUUGGCGACACAGAUUUCCCUGUCCUUGCCCUGCUCCUUCCCUAGACCUGGCCCUGCCCCAGCCUGAUCACAGCUCCCAGUCCCUAUCCUGGAGGCUGAUGUGAACAGCUUCCCCCUCUGCUCCCAGCAGCCUGCUCACCACACCCCCUCCCAGUGUGCUGGCGGACAGUCACCUCCCCUCCUUGAAUGAUGCUUUCUCUGGUUGUGAAAUUGGAGGGUUGUCUAGUCAAUUUGUUGACUAGACUACCACAGCCCAGGGGCACAUCUGCGUGGAGCAGCAGGGCUGUGUGCCUACUCGUGUAUGUGCCUGGGUGGACCUACACACGUGCUUACGUGCAUGUAUUUGUGCCGCCAAGUCUACACUUGCCUGUCAGUGAGUGUCUACACAUCUGUCUCCACACAUCUGUGAACGUCUGUGUCUGUGACUCUAUGUGUAACUCUGCAUUUUAAGUGUGUCUGUGUGUUUAUAUAUCUGUGCUUGUGUGCUUCUAGGUCAUUGUCUGAUCAUUGCAUGUCCUUAUGUCAUGAAUGCCCUUACAUGUAUGUGAAUCUGCAGAGCUGUGUGUGUUGAUGUGCAGGUGUGCAUACUUACGUCUCCAUGCUUUUACACAUAUGUCAGUGCGCCUGUGACUGCGUGUCAGUAUGUCGGGCUCCCUGGGUGUCACCAGUGGUAAAGAACCCGCCUGCCAACGCAGGAGACGUAAGAGAUGCGGAUUCGAUCCCUGGGUAGGGACGAUCCCCUGGAGGAGGAAAUGGCAACCCACUCCAGUAUUCUUGCCUGGAGAAUCCCAUGGACAGAGGAGCCUGGCCGGCUAUAGUCCACAGGGUUACAAAGAGUCAAACAUGACUGAAGCAACUUAGCACGUGUGCAAGACAGAGCACGGCUGCGUGUAUGUCAGUGUGUGCCUGUGUCUGCAUGUAUGUGUUGGAAGCCGGGGUAAAAGCAGGAAGCAGCUCAGUGUCAGGACAUGAUCCUUGGUUUCUUUCAAGCUCCGGCUCCAUCCGGACUCAGCCAUCCAGCUGGGUGGGAAGCAGGCAGCCAGAGAGAACAGAGCUCCCCAGACCAGAAGCGGGCAUCUGCCCAAUGGUGCAGUGUGGUCACAGAGGCCAGAAGGCACAGGGGCAAGUCUGUGUCCCUGAGGCCCCUGGCCCCUCACCUGGCGGCAGGCCGAGGAUCUUCAGAACCAAUGGACAAUGGGGAAACCUCGCAUUUUGUUCCCUGUGUGCCCCUGCAUCUCCUGUGGGUCUCCUUGCGGGCUCCUCCCCUGGACCCUCUCCCUGCACACAGGUGUGUGUCACUGAUCAGCUUUAUCCUUUCUCUCAUUCAUCCUUUCCCAGGCAGAGUGUCCACAUCUCUCUCUCUCACACACACACACACACUCACAGUGCACAGGCCUUGGUCUCCAUCCUACUCACACUCCUUGUGAAAUACUCUGGCACACAUUUCCCUGGGUCUCCAUGAUUCUUUCCUUCUCCAUCCCCUCAUGCCCUUCUCCCAGU